GAUUAAGUUCAUGUAUUUAAACCCUGUCAUAUGCCGUCUCUUUUCUGUUCAUUGUUUGGUUGGUUGUAGUGGGGGUUCAUUGCUUGGUUCAUUGCUUGGUUCAUUGCUUUUGUGUGGUUGUAUUUAGGUUUGAAUAUAUCGGAUGUGCGUAAGCCCGUCUGUGUUUUGAAGCCUCCGUUUACGUUAGCCUGUUUGAUUCUAGCCGUUUUGUUUUUCUUACCUCGGUAUGUCACUUUCUAGUUUCUGUUAUUGCCUGCAUCCCCUGUUUGCCUUCGUGUGUUUUGGUUUGUUAUUCCUAGCCUUCCUUUUUUCCGAGCUCCUGUGUAUGCUAUCCUAGCCCAUGUUUUGUAUAGCAGUAUCCCAGUAUCUCCAUAAUGGCUCUAUGAUACUGGACUACGACUACGACUCUGGAUUUGCCCUUAAUAAAUCUCGCUCUUCUCCGCACAUGCGUCCGCCACUUUACCGCUCAACGUUACAGCAUACUGUUUGGAUGGGAUGAACACACUCUUUCCAGAGAUGUAGUUCACACACAUUUCAAUACAGGCCAUAAUUUGUGAUUUACCACAUUUUUAAAUGAAUAUAUUCCAUUUCAAAUUCUGUGUUAUCUAUUAUGCUGUUUCCAGUUUGCCUGCCUGCACAUACAUCCACACUGUGGUUAUGCCAGGUUUUUGUUUUUGUUUUUUUUUUGUACUGAAACGGAUUAAUUGGCACGUCAUUUGUAACCACAUAAAGGAGAACCUAAUGGAUUUGUCAGCCCACUUGAGAAAUCUAACCAAACCUUUCAAGGAAAUAUUGGUUUCAGUUGAAACACAUGGAAGGUUUACAUAUAAGGGCUAUUCAAGUAAUAUAUGGCCAGAUGAACAUUGCACUCUGUGAUAUAUACACUCCCCACAGCACUCUCCUCACUGUUGCCUACAAUUCUAAGCAUGAGAAACUCUGAUGGUGGUUUUGCCACAUAACAAGACCAAGUGUGGAAGAAAACUGUUUGAGCUCCUGAAGCUUCAGAGGUGUUUGGCUGGUGUGUGCUGAGGUAAGGCAGGCCUGUGACUUCCUGCUCUCUAAGCAGAUGGGAGAUGGUGGCUGGGGAGAGGAUUUUGAGUCAUGUGAACAGCGCCGCUAUGUACAGAGCAAAAACUCACAGACUUGCAUGUUUUAUUAAUUAUGUUUUUAUUUUUUGAUUAAAAAUACCUAUUUAUCUACUGCUUAUAAACUGUGAGGAGGCACAACAUGUAUAAUUGCAGAGAUUAUGUUCCUUGACUUAGUACUUUGUCAUUUGGAAUGUGUUUUGGUAUAAACACCAAGGCCAAAUGUUUCUUGCAUAAAAUAAUACUUAUGUCUUUAAAAGCAUAUGGAUGUGUGUGUGUGUGUGUGUGUGUGUGUGUGUGUGUGUGUGUGUGUGUGUGUCUUCUAGGCAGCUGAAACUUUGAUUCCAGUCUCUGUAAUUGUUUUAAAGUUUUUGUAAAACACACUGUACCGGUGAACAUUAUUACCACUAAAUGCUAAAUAUUACAAACAAAGAAUUACCACACCUUACUUGGACAACCUGUUAUGCCUGUUAUUUUUAAGAUUGACACAGAAAUGAAAACAUGUUUGAUUGUCAUGCGAACAGUGGCUUGACUUGUUUGGGACUUUUAUUUACAGGGGUGUUUCAUGCAAUUUUUCACACAUUUUAUGCUUUAAUAUUGUCAUAACAUGUAUUAGGAAGUUUCUUCAUAGACUAUGUUUUGUAUUAAUAUAUUUAUUUAUAUUCAUUAAUGUGUAAUGUGUACCAGUUUGUGUUACCAAAACUUGUGAUAAAAAUUGUUAAUGUUGAUUAUGUUGAUUUUAAAGAAGUAUUGCAUACAAUGGUUACCAAUAACAUCAAAUGUAAUAAAUCUUGAAGCCAACAAAAAUGACUAAAACAUUUCUCAGUAGAAUCCCAAACAUAUUUAUCCCUUUGU